AAAUUGAAGAGUUUGAUCAUGGCUCAGAUUGAACGCUGGCGGCAGGCCUAACACAUGCAAGUCGAACGGUAACAGGAAACAGCUUGCUGUUUCGCUGACGAGUGGCGGACGGGUGAGUAAUGUCUGGGAAACUGCCUGAUGGAGGGGGAUAACUACUGGAAACGGUAGCUAAUACCGCAUAACGUCGCAAGACCAAAGAGGGGGACCUUCGGGCCUCUUGCCAUCGGAUGUGCCCAGAUGGGAUUAGCUAGUAGGUGGGGUAACGGCUCACCUAGGCGACGAUCCCUAGCUGGUCUGAGAGGAUGACCAGCCACACUGGAACUGAGACACGGUCCAGACUCCUACGGGAGGCAGCAGUGGGGAAUAUUGCACAAUGGGCGCAAGCCUGAUGCAGCCAUGCCGCGUGUAUGAAGAAGGCCUUCGGGUUGUAAAGUACUUUCAGCGGGGAGGAAGGGAGUAAAGUUAAUACCUUUGCUCAUUGACGUUACCCGCAGAAGAAGCACCGGCUAACUCCGUGCCAGCAGCCGCGGUAAUACGGAGGGUGCAAGCGUUAAUCGGAAUUACUGGGCGUAAAGCGCACGCAGGCGGUUUGUUAAGUCAGAUGUGAAAUCCCCGGGCUCAACCUGGGAACUGCAUCUGAUACUGGCAAGCUUGAGUCUCGUAGAGGGGGGUAGAAUUCCAGGUGUAGCGGUGAAAUGCGUAGAGAUCUGGAGGAAUACCGGUGGCGAAGGCGGCCCCCUGGACGAAGACUGACGCUCAGGUGCGAAAGCGUGGGGAGCAAACAGGAUUAGAUACCCUGGUAGUCCACGCUGUAAACGAUGUCGACUUGGAGGUUGUGCCCUUGAGGCGUGGCUUCCGGAGCUAACGCGUUAAGUCGACCGCCUGGGGAGUACGGCCGCAAGGUUAAAACUCAAAUGAAUUGACGGGGGCCCGCACAAGCGGUGGAGCAUGUGGUUUAAUUCGAUGCAACGCGAAGAACCUUACCUGGUCUUGACAUCCACAGAACUUUCCAGAGAUGGAUUGGUGCCUUCGGGAACUGUGAGACAGGUGCUGCAUGGCUGUCGUCAGCUCGUGUUGUGAAAUGUUGGGUUAAGUCCCGCAACGAGCGCAACCCUUAUCCUUUGUUGCCAGCGGUCCGGCCGGGAACUCAAAGGAGACUGCCAGUGAUAAACUGGAGGAAGGUGGGGAUGACGUCAAGUCAUCAUGGCCCUUACGACCAGGGCUACACACGUGCUACAAUGGCGCAUACAAAGAGAAGCGACCUCGCGAGAGCAAGCGGACCUCAUAAAGUGCGUCGUAGUCCGGAUUGGAGUCUGCAACUCGACUCCAUGAAGUCGGAAUCGCUAGUAAUCGUGGAUCAGAAUGCCACGGUGAAUACGUUCCCGGGCCUUGUACACACCGCCCGUCACACCAUGGGAGUGGGUUGCAAAAGAAGUAGGUAGCUUAACCUUCGGGAGGGCGCUUACCACUUUGUGAUUCAUGACUGGGGUGAAGUCGUAACAAGGUAACCGUAGGGGAACCUGCGGUUGGAUCACCUCCUUACCUUAAAGAAGC
rnacentral:rRNA from 1 species